rnacentral:rRNA from 1 species
UACGUAGGGUGCGUGCGUUAAUCGGAUUUACUGGGCGUAAAGCGUGCGCAGGCGGCCCGUUAAGACAGGUGUGAAAUCCCUGGGCUCAACCUAGGAAUUGCUCUUGUGACUGGCGGGCUCGAGUACGGUAGAGGGGGGUGGAAUUCCUGGUGUAGCAGUGAAAUGCGUAGAGAUCAGGAGGAACACCGAUGGCGAAGGCAGCCCCCUGGGCCUGUACUGACGCUCAUGCACGAAAGCGUGGGGAGCAAACAGG